rnacentral:piRNA from 1 species
UCCUUGCAGCAAGACUUUCAGCCAAACAUC